CCCUUAGAUGUUCUGGGCUGCACACGCGCUACACUGAAGCUAUCAACACGUUUUCCCUCCCUGAGAAGGGCGGGUAACCUUUUGAAUCAGCUUCGUGGUAGGGAUCGGGGCUUGCAAUUGUUCCCCGUGAACCAGGAAUUCCUAGUAGACGCGAGUCAUAAGCUCGCAUCGAUUAAGUCCCUGCCCUUUGUACACACCGCCCGUCGCUACUACCGAUUGAACGUUUUAGUGAGGCAUUUGGACCGACGCAUCUCAGUUUAACCGCUGGUUUGUGUUGGAAAGACUUCCAAACUUGAGCGUUUAGAGGAAGUAAAAGUCGUAACA
rnacentral:rRNA from 1 species